ensembl:lncRNA
AUGUGUCCGGUGCAGCAACAGUCACAACCAAAUUUAUAUUCUCAUCUUUGUCAUCCCUGCCCACUGAAACUUUGGUCCUAGGUGCUAUUAGUAAUCUUCAUGAAGCUAGAAAGUCCCAAAUCAAUGAAUCACUGAAGAUUGACAGUUUUACCUAUGAGAAAAUCUCUGAAACUUCCUAUGCUGUCAUCUUUAAUAUUAGUUUGAAUAAUAUCAGCAUGCCUGAGGAUCCUGAGCUAAGAAGCAGCAGUUAUGUGCAAGUGCAAGAUCUUGUCAAUAAUGCAGUAAGAAACUAGCAUUAACACAUUGGUGAAGUGUGGGACCAGUGUAAAUUUUCACCAGAGGUUGAUGAAUGGCUUGAUUUUUUUUCUUCCUGCAGCUGAACACUCUUCUGAAUGAACCUGGCAAGCAAGUUUUCAAACCAAAUUCCUCUCACUUUACGAGCACUUCAAAUCAGAUUGAUGGCAGGAUGGACUACACCUUCCAGGAUGGAGAUGCCAUACAACCAGUCAGCUUCCUAAAUGAGCUUCAUCUUCC